rnacentral:rRNA from 1 species
AUAAUCUACCCAGUAAUCCGGGAUAACAUCUCGAAAGAGAUGCUAAUACCUGAUAAGCCCACGAUCUCUUCGGAGAACGAGGGAAAAGGUGGGGACCUUCGGGCCUGCCGUUGCUGGAUGAGUCCGCGGCCCAUUAGCUAGUUGGUAGGGUAAUGGCCUACCAAGGCAACGAUGGGUAGCUGGUCUGAGAGGAUGAUCAGCCACACUGGAACUGAGACACGGUCCAG